UGAUAGUUCAAUCCUUGUAAUUUAACUCUCUUUAGAUAAAGAGCAGACUUCUUUGGAUGUCCCUCUACUAGAUGUGGCCAUGAACGCAUCUACCCUUCAAGAGUAUCUUAAGCAACAAAAUAAAUGGGCAAACUUAGAAACUUCAAAUGCUAUUCCUAAAGAAAUGAAUGCUAGUUUCAUGGGCUUUGUCUUAAGGAGUGCCAAUGAAGGCAUUAGCCAAAAAAGGGUUGGAAAUUCUAAGUGGCCUAAGCAAAAAAGGGUUCGGUCCAAAACUAUUAUCGUCUGUGCUUACGGGGUUCAUGCUUGCCACUAAAGAGCUCCUCUCCCCUGCCCCUGUUGUCCACUACUUGCCGUGACUUUGAAAGGUGGGUCUACCGUUAACAAGAUAAAGGGUGUGGCUGCAACUACUGCUGAGAUCACUACUAGAGAGGCCUUCAGUGACUUUUUUCCAACAAUGGUUGUUGAAGGCUGAUUAGAGGAGCCUUAAGUGGCUAGAAUAAUAUUAGAGCUAAAACGUGAGAGUAGUGCUAGAAAGCUACCACCGUGAGGCUUUUCUUAGGCAUUAUUGUUGACAGCAGUGUUGAUUAUUAAUAUGAAUAGCACUGCCUUUCGUCUAUUAUUUGUAUUAUUGCAAAAAAGAGUUGUGUUUUUCAUUUGCACAAUAGCUGUAAUGAUAAAAUUUCGUGGUUGCUUUCUUUCUU